CGCGGGAUGGAUCAGUAGGUAGCUCAUCGGGCUCAUAACCAGAAGGCCAUCGUUUUGAGACGGGGUUCCCGCUA
rnacentral:tRNA from 1 species